GUCAAGAUGAAAAACUUCAUCUAAUGGAAUCCAGCUUGAAAGCAACUCAAGAGCAGCUAACUGAGCAAAGAGCAGCAAUAGUUCGUCAAGAACAGAACAGCACAAAAUCACAGGCAGAGCUGAAGACAGUGAGAGAACGUAUUAUUGCUUCUGCAGAAGAAAUUAAUGAUUACAAAUCAUUGGAAGAAAAGCAAGGUCAUCAAAGAAAAUACCUACAUUUAGAACAUGGGAAACUGGAAAAAUUGUACUGUUACUUGAAGAAAUAAUUAAGUAAGAAUGAACACCAAGUUUUGGAGUAAAGACAGCAAGUAAAUUUGUAUAUGUUGGUUUUUAGUUGCUGAUGGGUCAUCUUGGCAGGGAUAACCUUGACACAGAGCAACUUCAGUAAAAUCUUGAGGUUACCUAUAUUGUUAGGCUAAGACUGGUAAAUAUCCUUAAUUUUAUGUAUGACUUGGUUAUAUCAUAUAUAAUUUGUAUUAGUCAUUUUAAAGAUCUUUUCUCAUUUUUAGCUUAUAAUACUUGUUCAUUUUAG
rnacentral:lncRNA from 1 species